rnacentral:rRNA from 1 species
UGCCUAACACAUGCAAGUCAACUUGACUGAAGGAGCAAUCUGACAGUAGAGUGGCGCAAGGGUGCGUAACGCGUAAGUAACUUGCCCCAAGGUAAGGAAUAACGUCGAGAAAUCGGCGCUAAUACCUCAUAAUGCAGCGGAUCCGCAUGGAUAUGUUGUUAAAAGGUUUACCGCCUUGGGAUAGGCUUGCGUCUGAUUAGUUAGUUGGUGUGGUAACGGCACACCAAGGCUACGAUCAGUAACUGGUCUGAGAGGAUGAUCAGUCACACUGGAACUGAGACACGGUCCAGACUCCUACGGGAGGCAGCAGUGAGGAAUAUUGGGCAAUGCUCGAAAGAGUGACCCAGCAACGCCGCGUGGAGGAUGAAGGUAUUCUAUAUCGUAAACUCCUGUGAGAGCAGACGAAAGACAGAUUAUUAAUCUGGAUGACUGUAUGCUCAGAGGAAGCCCCGGCUAACUACGUG